UCAUAGAUAAUUUUGUUAAUUCGUCGUAACUGAUUCUACUGCACUUUAUCAAAAUACAUCGAGUGCAAUACCUUUCCAUCGGGUCAACCGCAUUAUUCACUUAUGGUUCCUUCAAGCGUGCAGACCUGAUAUGACACGAAGUUUCAUGAUGCUUCGGCUUUGCAAUAGAUUGAAAUUGGAUGAAGUGUAAAACGACGACAACGAUGUCGUUGGCGGCGAGACGAUUGAAUUUUCGUCGGUCGGUCGGUCGGUUGGGCGGUAGCGACAAGCAGUCAACCGAAGCGCGGAGAGUUUGAGAGAGAAACCACCCGUCCCGAUCUGUUGACGGCUCUUGGCUCGCUCCGCCAAAGAGGAAACAACGUGCCCGCUGGUGGUUAACGCGGGCAUGGUUUUAAAACGGUGAGCACGAGUAAUCAAGCGCCGAUCACAAGUUGUAUCUUGUUGCUGCGGUUGUAAAGGUGAUGCAAAACUGUAUUGUAUCUAGCUCAUUUCGAUUGGAUAUGGCGAGUGAAUACCGCUUGAUUUUUUUUUUCACCCAUCGUCGCCUUUGGCAUCAUCAAGUACUUUCGUGGUGGUGACGGGCGGUGUAUGUGUAGUGUCAUGUUUUCUACCCAUUCUUCUUUAAUUAGUGAGGGUACGGGUUAUAAAUGCCAUUUGAAGCGCAAAAAAUUUGGUGCCUACGUGCUUUACGACAUUUGAGGCAAUGUUACGGCAGAAAAACGAACGAUUCAAUGAAACAUUUUUCCUGCCAAAAUGUAUGCACAAUUUUGCGAAAUAUUUAUCUAUCAACUAAUUUAUCGUGAUUUGUAAUUCCACGCAUUAAAUUUGUUUUUCUCGGAAA